rnacentral:lncRNA from 1 species
CCCAAUAAUCUAGCCUCACCUGGCUCGAACAAACCCACCGGAGAUCCAUACCACGUACCAUAUAAAGCCUCAUAUGGUGCCAUCUGAAUGUUGGACUGACAACUGUUGUUGUAUGCAAACUCCACCAAUGGGAAGAACUGGUCCAAGACCCUCCAAACUCAAUCACACAUGCAUGGAUCAUAUCCUCAAGAAUCUAAAUAGUGCGCUCGGACUGUCUAUCCAUCUGAGGGUGAUAUGUUGAACUCAACCCAAC